AGCAGAGCGGCCGAGCACCUGCGCCGGGCCCUGCGCUACCUGCGGAGCCCACAGGAGCCCCUGCGAGAGGCGGCCAUCAGGUUCAUGGGCAUGGCCGGGCGGCACCUGAGGGGGCAGCAGCAGGAGCUGCAGCGGAUCUGCACUGCCCUUGAAGAAAUGGCAGAUGACAUCAGCCUUUCUGUCAGAAGCCUCGCUCUUCAAACUUUACACAUUCUCAGGGCAGAAGCUACAAUUCGAUAUUCCAUCUUGGAGGACCUGGAGGAUCGGC